rnacentral:rRNA from 1 species
ACUCCUGCGGGAGGCAGCAGUGGGGAAUUUUGGACAAUGGGCGAAAGCCUGAUCCAGCAAUGCCGCGUGAGUGAAGAAGGCCUUCGGGUUGUAAAGCUCUUUUGUCAGGGAAGAAACGGUGAAAGCUAAUAUCUUUUGCUAAUGACGGUACCUGAAGAAUAAGCACCGGCUAACUACGUGCCAGCAGCCGCGGUAAUACGUAGGGUGCAAGCGUUAAUCGGAAUUACUGGGCGUAAAGCGUGCGCAGGCGGUUUUGUAAGUCUGAUGUGAAAUCCCCGGGCUCAACCUGGGAAUUGCAUUGGAGACUGCAAGGCUAGAAUCUGGCAGAGGGGGGUAGAAUUCCACGUGUAGCAGUGAAAUGCGUAGAUAUGUGGAGGAACACCGAUGGCGAAGGCAGCCGCCUGGGUCAAGAUUGACGCUCAUGCACGAAAGCGUGGGGAGCAAACAGGAUUAGAAACCCUUGUAGUCCCAUGA